rnacentral:RNase_P_RNA from 1 species
AGGUGACCAGGCGAUCGCGUGCCGAAAGGUAUGAGGAAAGUCCGAGCACCGCAGGGCAGGGUGCCGGCUAACGGCCGGUGGAGGCGACUCCAAGGAGAGUGCAACAGAGAUAUACCGCCCCGGCGGCAAAAGCCCCGGAGUAAGGAUGGAAAGGCGAGGUAAGAGCUCACCCACGGCUUGGCGACUUGUCCGUGCUGUAAACCCCACCCGGUGCAAGAUGGUAUGAGGACACAUGCGGCGGCCCGUCGCGUCCUUGCAAUCGCUCGAGCCUGCGCGGUAACGCCAGGUCUGGAUAGAUGAUCGCCCAAUACAGAACUCGGCUUAUGGGCACGCUCG